AGCACAUUAUUAGGCCUUUAUAAGGCAUCAUUAAUGUUUAUAAACAUGCUGCUAAAGAAUAAUCUACACUCGCUUCUAAGGAUAAACACGAGCUUCAUAAAAUAGUCAAAAGGAAUGUGACGAGAAUUUACAUUAAAGAUGAAAUGGGCUCCAACUUUCAAACGGAAAGAAGAUAUAAAUAAAUAAAGUUCAGACUGACAGAAGGAGGAAACACUGGAGAGAAGCGAGGGAAGAUAAGAAAACCGAACGCCACACUUUCUGGUCCGGGAUCAAAGCCCAGCCCUGGAAUUUAAGUCCGCAGCUAACAAAUGUUUUACACUACAAACAAGCCAGAAACCGCAGCGACACAUUUACAGUAGUGCAAAAGAAAAGCGAUCGCAGUCCAAGUGCGGAUUAGCGGCCUGGCAGCUCAGAGCAGUCAAUCUGCUGAAUUUGUCUUCUCUUCUUGGCAAAGACGAGCGAGUCUGACAGAGAGGAAAAAGCCAGCAAGAGGCAGACAGACAGGAGGCUUGACUUCCAUGACAACUGAUCAGAGAAAGAAGAAAACAGAUGUUCGUUUUUCUCCAGAAUAAAUGCAGCACAGCCAGGUGUGUUCCUCAAGCUGUGUGUCGCUGUGUUUCUAAAAGUGGAGUGAGAAUAAAUGAGGGUCAGAUGGAGCUCAGUGCUGAAUAAGAGAAGUUUCUGUGCAGAAAUCACAACUCAGCUGUCUGACUGCAGAACUGAUCUCAGGCCUGUAUCCUAACUGCAUUCCACACUUUCAGCAUUUCACCUGCUCUCAAAGUGCUGACUGUGUGAUUGUGUGUGUGUGUGUGUGUGUGUGUGUGUGUGUGUGUGUGUGUGUGUGUGUUUGUGUGUGUGUGUGUGUGUGUGUGUGUGUGUUUGUGUGUGUGUGUGUAUGUGUGUGUGUGUGUGUGUGUGUGUGUGUGUGUGUGUGUGUGUGUGUGUGUGUGUUUGUGUGUGUGUGUGUGUGUGUGUUUGUGUGUGUGUGUAUGUGGGACGUUCUCUCACCUGUUAGAACCAGAGCGGAGUGAAGAACCUUUACUGCACUUUCUUUACUAUUUAAAGACUUAAAGGAUAAGACGAGUGUUUUAUUUCCUCAAAUAUUCGGGAGUGUGUCCACAGAGCUGAGAGUGAUGGAGGGAAAAGAAAGAAAGAAAGAAAGAAAGAAAGAAAGAAAGAAAGAAAGAAAGAAAGAAAGAAAGAAAGAAAGAAAAGUUGCGGAAGGCAGGAAAGAAUGAAAGAGAGAACAGAAAUAAUAAAAACGUAAAUGAAAAGAAGUGGAAGUGUGACAGUAAUGAAUACUGAGAGAGAGAGAGAGAGAGAGAGAGAGAGAGAGAGAGAGUAAAAGAAAAAAAUUAGCAUAUGAAAGAAUAAAAAAGAACUGUAGAAAAAGGAAAAAGAUAAAACAUAAGAAUAAUUAUUUAAAAUAAAAAUUCUUUACACAAUUAAACUGUUAAUGAAGAAUCUUUAUACAGAUGAACAUAUUUGUGUCACACAUCUCUCUGCCCUCCGUCUCACUCCGUCGUCAGAAUGGGUUCAGGUUACACAGAACGUUCACUUCACUUCUCUUCACCUUUCUUUCUCUGUGAAACUUUUGGAUAAAUCUUUUAUAACUUUGGUUUGUUUGCUGUUUGAUUGUUUUUGCAGUUUUCACACAACACACGAUUAAACUAACUAACAAAUGUAAAAGACUUUUGAUGGAAUUAAAAUCUACAACAGAGUUUGAGCAGAACAUUAUGAGUUUGAAUCCUCACACAGUCGUCUGUGACCAGGGGGCGGGGCAUACGCUGUCUCAUCUGUCAAUCACAGCAACAAGAGCCAGUCAUGGAGCUGGUGUAUGUGGAAGAGAGCUGAUAGUGCUUUCGUCUGAGUGUGUGUUACGCCACGCUGUGAUGCAGCAGCAGCUUGUGGUGUGGUCCUGAUGUGGUCCUGUUCCUGUGUCCUGAUGGAAGCAUGAGAUUGUCUUCAUCUCGCCGGAUUCUAGCUGUCGUUUGAUGGGAGAAAGCUGACUGGUGGGUGGGAACUGGUCAAGAGCAAAAAUCUCCAGGACACAUGAAGAACUCUGUGUUAUCUCUGUUCUUAGUUUAGCAGCUCACAAGAUCUACAACAAAACAACACAAAGUGUGAUUCACUUCCUGAAGGAGAGUCGAUUCAGAUUCGAUUCAUUUUAGAAAUGCACUGAGACAUUCUCGCAUGUCUGCCUUUUAUUCUGAUGCAUGUGUGAGACCCGAACACACCGCACCAGCGUUCUGAUUUGUUUUGUCAUCAUCUUCAUCUGUACAUUUUUUUGCUUCCUGGGUGCUUUCAGGUUCAUGGUGUUCACACAGCUUUAAUCAUCACUGUACAGCUGGAGUAAAAGUGAAGCGACUGCUUGUUAAGGUGUUUUCACUGCAGCAGCGGCUAAAAUGUGGAGGAGGAACAGAUUAAACACCAGACGUCCUCGGCUCAUUAAAAUAAGCAGGAAAUGGACGGAGAACCGCAAGAAGAGCGGUGCAGUGGUGUGUCAAAGGAAAUGAGGAGGAAGUGGAGUGAAAUCACGGAGAUGUUUGCUCCUGGUCCUGCUCACGCUUUACACGUGUGUAAUCCAGACUGAACGCUCACCUCAGGGUCACGUUUUUGGAUCUUCCUCAAUUCUUCCUCAUCUUCAGUUCUUUAAUUCAAAGGUUGUUGAAGAUUGUAGUUUGUUUGCUUCCUUAACAUCUUUACACUGGGUUUAAUGAAAAGAGCUGCUCUCAGCAUGCUGACUUCCCCCUCGCUGUACUUCUGACCACUAAAUAAAAGAUUUCUCUGCCUACUUUCUCACAUAGUUGCAGGAACUAAACAUGCUGUGUUUUACUUUGUGGGUGGUGUUUUUUAUAUUUUAUAUGCAAGAAGGAAAAGAAGGAAAAAUAAAGCUGCUGACGUUGUGCAAGUGUCCAGAGUUAAAUGCCACUGACACCACGAGGCGCCGCAGUCGUCAGUUUCUGAAGUUUUAUUUACUGAAACUUUAAAAGAGAAAAAGAAAUAAAGAAAGUGAAGAAAGUGUAGAAGACUGGUCUGUUAAUGUAGAAGACUGGUCUGUUAAUGUAGAAGACUGGUCUGUUAAUGUAGAAGACUGGUCUGUUAAUGUAGAAGACUGGUCUGUUAAUGUAGAAGACUGGUCUGUUAAUGUAGAAGACUGGUCUGUUAAUGUCGCUGCUAUCGUUCUUCUGCUCCAUUUUACUCUCAGUCUCUCCUAACUUCAUUAGAAAUC